ACUCUUUUAGUAUAAUUAGUACAAUUGACUUCCAAUCAAUAAGGUUCGGACAAAACCGAGAAAGAGUA
rnacentral:tRNA from 1 species